rnacentral:rRNA from 1 species
AACGACAUCGAAAGCUUGCUUUUGAUGGGCGUCGACCGGCGCACGGGUGAGUAACGCGUAUCCAACCUGCCCAUCACUUGGGAAUAACCUUGCGAAAGUAAGACUAAUACCCAAUGACAUCCCACGAAGGCAUCCGAAUGGGAUUAAAGAUUUAUCGGUGAUGGAUGGGGAUGCGUCUGAUUAGCUUGUUGGCGGGGUAACGGCCCACCAAGGCAACGAUCAGUAGGGGUUCUGAGAGGAAGGUCCCCCACAUUGGAACUGAUACACGGUCCAAACUCCUACGGGAGGCAGCAGUGAGGAAUAUUGGUCAAUGGGCGAGAGCCUGAACCAGCCAAGUAGCGUGCAGGACGACGGCCCUAUGGGUUGUAAACUGCUUUUAUAAGGGAAUAAAGUGGGUCACGUGUGACUUUUUGCAUGUACCUUAUGAAUAAGGACCGGCUAAUUCCGUGCCAGCAGCCGCGGUAAUACGGAAGGUCCGGGCGUUAUCCGGAUUUAUUGGGUUUAAAGGGAGCGUAGGCCGGAGAUUAAGCGUGUUGUGAAAUGUAGAGGCUCAACCUCUGCACUGCAGCGCGAACUGGUCUUCUUGAGUACGCACAACGUGGGCGGAAUUCGUGGUGUAGCGGUGAAAUGCUUAGAUAUCACGAAGAACUCCGAUUGCGAAGGCAGCUCACUGGAGCGCAACUGACGCUGAAGCUCGAAAGUGCGGGUAUCGAACAGGAUUAGAUACCCUGGUAGUCCGCACGGUAAACGAUGGAUGCCCGCUGUUGGUCUGAAUAGGUCAGCGGCC